ACGAACUGGUAGGUGCUCGAUUGAAACUGUUCUUGUUUCAUGAAUGUAAAACAGAAAAUGUCAUUGCAAAACCCUUUGCGAAGAUAGAUAACCAAUUUUUACCAGUGCUUACAGCCUGUGCAAAUGAAGAUUGUCAGAGAAAACCAUACACCCAGUUGCAAAACAUCAAGAACCACAUAUCGCUGGCGAUUCGAAAAGCAAUACAUUCAUACUAUAACUAUUGGAUGGUUUGUGAUGAUCUAAAUUUUAAUCAAAGUACACGAACCUUUGCACAUGUGGUGGACAGCCAGGGACAUCCGAUAUGUUUGGCAUGCAAACGUGGCAAUUUGCUCAAAUUUUACAUUGUCGUACAACAUCUAAAUUGGAAGAGACUUACGGCUCGUUGUGCGAACAUGUCGACAAAGUUUUGAGACGAUCAUCUUUCCAAAAUGUUAAACUAUCCGAAAUAUUUCCCCAAAUGGUUCCACUACAAGAUACUAUAAUGGCUAAUGGAUCAGCUUUGACAACAGCUUUUUAAAAAAAAAAACAUCUUGUAUUUUAAAUUUCAUUGAUUGAGCACAAUAAAUAUGUUACAUUUUAGGGUUAUGAUGACAACAAUAUACAAUUCAUUUUUUCACAUAAGAUUGGGGCAUUAAAUAAUGCGGAAUACUUUCAUUUAAUUUAAUUUCAUUCAAAUAUCUUAAAACUUAAAAUUACGGUCGAUAAAAUGGCAUUUCGCCGACAAUUACUAUCACAAAGA